rnacentral:rRNA from 1 species
GACGAACGCUGGCGGCGUGCUUAACACAUGCAAGUCGAACGGAAAGGCCUUUUCGGAGGUACUCGAGUGGCGCACGGGUGAGUAACACGUGGGUGAUCUGCCCUGCACUCUGGGAUAAGCCUGGGAAACUGGGUCUAAUACCGGAUAGGACCGCACUUUAGUGUGUGUGGUGGAAAGUUUUUUCGGUGUAGGAUGAGCCCGCGGCCUAUCAGCUUGUUGGUGGGGUAAUGGCCUACCAAGGCGGCGACGGGUAGCCGGACUGAGAGGUUGGUCGGCCACAUUGGGACUGAGAUACGGCCCAGACUCCUACGGGAGGCAGCAGGGGGGAAUAUUGCACAAUGGGCGCAAGCCUGAUGCAGCGACGCCGCGUGGGGGAUGACGGCCUUCGGGUUGUAAACGCCUUUCGCCAGGGACGAAGCGUUUUGUGACGGUACCUGGAGAAGAAGCACCGGCUAACUACGUG